UUGAAGAAGGAAAAAAUCAGGACUAAUUAAAUGUGAAUGUUGCGAAAACACAAUAAAAUCGGUAAAACUGAUACGAGUUUUUGUUAAUAUAUCCAUGAAGAAAGACUGAAAUAAGUAGUAUUUUGCGAGAGUUAUUAUGAAUGUAGGUGUUGCUAAAUGACAAGUGGCAGAUAUGCUGAGUUGGUGGAUGAAAGAAAUGUUAAAACUUUGGUGUCAAAAUCCAUACUCCAUAAUUAACACCAAGAUCAAGCAUCACAUCGAGCAAAUCGAAAUUUUCCAAUACAGUCCAAUGAUUAUGUUGUCUUUUGGUUUGCAUAACAUGUCCUAAGAAAGCACAGCCGCUGAAGCAUGUGAAGAGCAGUCCAUAAUUAUAGUUCGUUGCUAACUCCAAAAUACUGGGUAGUUAUACUUGUUGUUGUUGCUGACUCGAAAAUAAUACGAUCUUGUCCUCAUAUUCGAUCCACAUAGAAUAAAUACAGAUGAAAGCUUCAAUAUGUUGCUCGAACUCUCCAAAAAUGUUACCAAGUGCACGUGGGAUCCUUCAAAAGGUAAAAUUAUUAAUCAGAUCAUGAUACAUAUUGUUUGUUCUCUCUAGUCUCAAGUUCAUCUACAAUGGAGAUAUAUGCUAUUUCCAAAUUCAAAACCGCCAAGCUGCCUGAGAAAACAACACAACAGAUGAAAUGAAAAUAUUGGAAGAUAUAUGACAACUCAAUAUCCAUUAACAAUUAGAAACAACUUUUCAAUUUAACUACGGAUAUAUAUACACACACUCACACACUUCCAUAUAGAUACAUUUAUAAGCCAUAUUUCAAACAAGUAUCCAGAAGUCUCAAGAUUUAGCUGGUGUAAUUUCUAAAUCCACCCCUGCACUGGAUUAUAGCACCCAAUUUCAAUCAAGUAACAAGAAGUUGAGAGGGCAUUUCACAUAAGAAGAUACCUUGGAGAACACUUGGGACAACUUCUUGAGCAAUAAUAUCCCAUCUGGAAAAACUUUUUACUGAUGCCAAAAUCCGAAAAAAAAAGAGAUGUUGAAGAACACUUAAGUUUGUCAGUUAUGCAUCAAAAAAUGAAACAGAAAAACUUCUACAAAGAGGUAAUUAAUUUUACUGAGAGAGAACUCAUAUAUAUUCAUUUAGCUUGGCGUCAAUAAGAGAGUGAUUUUUCAUUUUCAUGUCUCAAAUUAACAAGUUUGGAAAUGAAAGAUAGAAAUAGAAACACACACAACACACACCCCCAACACGAGAGAGAGAGAGGGAGAGAGAAAUCUUUUGAAACGAAUUGAAACUCCUCCACAGCAGACUGAUGCAUCAGGUUGACAUGAAAAUCUUGAAGGAUUGCGUAUGGGUGUUCGUAACACGCGGCGGAAGACAAUAACAAUCCUAGGUAGAUUUUCCCAUGUUUAAAAUUUAUUUACAUGUCAAAAAUAAGAUUUAAGACGUACCUGGUGAAGAGAGUUU
rnacentral:lncRNA from 1 species